ensembl:processed_transcript
UAUUAGUUUUUUAGCUCCGAAUUAAAUCUGACUCCAAUUUAAAUGAUCCUAAAAUUUAGAUUGUAUUUCUAAUUGUAAGAACGGAUCACAUUCAUCAUUUAUGAUUUAAUUUAGAGUUUUGAUAUUUUCUGAGGUCCGAUAUUCUAAUUGUACGUUCAUUAGGGACCAACAUCGCUCAGAGUUCCACGCCCCGGGUUUGCGCAUCUUCUCACGGACAAUAUGUCGACACUCUGAAAAUAGUCAGAGGAUGCAGGAUUAACUAUAUUUGAAUAAGCUGGUCGCAUUAACGCUUACCUAGUCUUAAAAAACAGAUCCUUAGCCAAGCCCAUACAACUUGCUACUUCCAGUGGUUGAAUGAUUAAAAGGUCUACAUGUUAUAGGCCUUUAUGGCUACGUAUAAUCAAAUGUGCCUAUUAAUCAAUUCAAUUAUGCCAUACAAUAAAGGUAAUGAAGACUCCUCUAAUCUACUGGAUACAAUGAAUUCGCAACUCCAGAAUUAAUCAAAACUUAACAUUUUAUUUUUCAGGUAAAAUUGUAUUCUGCCAAUUACAUAAUAAAUCAUCAGGAAGCCAAUUCAGAGAUGAGACUAACAAUAUAACAUCCAUUAAUCAAAGAUAAAUCAAAGAAAUAUAGAUGCAUACCUGACCAGAGAAGUACAUUGCAGCAUAAGUCUCAGAGAUGCUGCAAUGGGGUGUCUUUUUACAAGAUCUCCCCCCGUCCUAAAGCACAUCUUACCUUAUAUACUCAAGUCAAAACAAACAGCCAUAAAUUCAAGACAAUAGAGGUGUCACAGAAACCCUGGCCUGGUCAAUUUGAGGACUUAACCAUCUCUUAGGAGGGAGAGCAUCUUAUCAAGAUCCUAUAGAAGUCAAAAACCAAAUCAACAUAUACCAGUAAAAUAUUACUGUAAAAUUAAGACCACUUUACCAAUCACACAGAGACAUUUAAAAUGAUACCAAACAUGAAUAUAGUGAUGCAAGAUACACCAGAUUAAAACCUUGAACAUUUUAUGUGAAAUGUGCUCUAAUCAGAAGGUAACAUAAGGGUCAAGAAGGGGGGCUUGAGGUGGAAGGAGAUGGGUGACUUCUUCACAUUACCCCCUGCUGUUGAGUAGCUCUGUUUCUCCAGCCUUUGUUUGCAUUGUCAACAGUGAUUUGAAUAGAACAGUGGAACAGUUGGUUUCUUCAUCACUUCUCAGAUUAGAAAAUGCAUUGGAACAUUGCAUCUUGUCUCAUGAAAUUCCAUCACAGUUCUUAUGGGCUGAUAUUUUGGAUCCUUACACU